rnacentral:rRNA from 1 species
AGCAGCCGCGGUAAUUCCAGCUCCAAUAGCGUAUAUUAAAGUUGUUGCAGUUAAAAAGCUCGUAGUUGAAUUUCGGGGUUAGUAAGUUGGUCGUGCCACUGGUAUGUACUGACCUUACUGAUUCCUCCUUCUUGUAGAACCGUAAUGCCAUUAAGUUGGUGUUGCGGGGAAACAGGACUGUUACUUUGAAAAAAUUAGAGUGUUUAAAGCAAGCUAACGUUUGAAUACAUUAGCAUGGAAUAAUGAAAUAGGACGUUCGAUCCUAUUUUGUUGGUUUCUAGGAUUGACGUAAUGAUUAAUAGGGAUAGUUGGGGGCAUUAGUAUUCAAUUGUCAGAGGUGAAAUUCUUGGAUUUAUUGAAGACUAACUACUGCGAAAGCAUUUGCCAAGGAUGUUUUCAUUAAUCAAGAACGAAAGUUAGGGGAUCGAAGACGAUCAGAUACCGUCGUAGUCUUAACCAUAAACUAUGCCGACUAGGGAUCGGAUGAUGUUAAUUUUUAAUGACUCAUUUCGGCGCCUUA